GUAACAGCUCAUUUGCAUAGUAGUAGCAAUUCAUAACAAAUUUAGGAGGAAUAUAUGCACAAUUUGGUUGCCCCGAAAAUAAUCUAUUACAAUGCAUUUAUUUUGAAAUUCUGUUUAAUGAACAACACAAUAAAUACUGUAAAAAUGAAUUCGGGUGAUGAGAUUAAUUUUUAUGAGGUCUUGAGAUAGACCCACAUCAAUAAUUAAGAUCCCCCCCCACCCAUUUUGAAAAGCUAAUUUCUCUCAAGAGCAGGUGAAAAAAUAGAUGAAAAUAAAUAUAUUCUUUAGACUAAUCCUAGUUCCAACAUAUAUAAAAAUAUUGCGCUUGGCAAAUAAUAUCUACAUGGCGAAAAUUGAAUUAGAAAUACUAUAUAUAGCUACAAUUUAGUAUGUUUUGAUUAGAUGAUUGUAAAAUUAAUGUUUCCUCUGCUUAUUAUUUUGCUGAAACAUAUUUUUUAGAACCUUAUUCAUUUUUCAUAUUAAAAUAUAAUUGAUUUUUGGAUUUUGUAAAGUGCUGUUUUGAAAAAUCUACAAAAAAUGUAUUAUUGGGGGUUUGGGUGUUGUUAUCUCCCCUUGUUAGAACUCUUCAAUAUUGUUUGGUGAAAAAAGCGGUAGUACAAACGAUGCAAGGAGGUAAUCUCAAUAUUUCAUGUUAUUUUUCAACUUAUGGGAGUUGUUGUGGAACAUUGUUGCACUACGAAAGUCAAAAUGGAUUGUUAAAGAUACUGUCACAACCUGGCAUGUCAACUCUUACAUAUAUUGAAAGUUUUGUUAGGGCUACAUAUUUGAUAUUCUUACAUCAUACAACAUAGAUUUGUUUUGCUUAUAUCAUACAUAACUUUUUUCACAACAUUUUGAGAAAUGUAUUUUACCAGUCUUCAUCUGACAGUCAGUCGAUUGUCAAUAACAUUGUUUUAACAUCAAUAAAGUGUGUUCAAUUAUUCCAUGAUAACAAUGCUUUUUAUUCUAUUUUUUUAACACUAAUUUUACUAAUGGUAUUUCAUAUUCAAAACAGUGAGGAAUUUAAUUUUCAACUCUAUAAAUUAGUAUAACUGAGUACAAUGAGAAAUAAAGAAACACAAUCCUUGCAGUUUACUGAAAGGUCAUCAAUCACAGAGAUACACAAGACAAAGCCAUACAGUACAUGUAUUUUAUAUUGCUUAACAAGUGAUGUAUAUUGAAAACUAUAUACAUGUAUGUACUACAUGUAGUAUUUCACACAUACAAUAAUUUACGUCUGUCAGUGAGUUAGGAUAGAUGAUUUUGAUUGCAUUCAUUAUGUGACAUCAUAUUAUUCGUAAUCAAUUGACACAUAACAGAAUAUGAAUAGGCUAUAAUUUUUAUGAAUGAUUAUUUAUGAUAUCAACUGUAAUUUCGGACUGGUAUCUUUAUUGUGAAAGUCGAACAUUUGCUGAAUUUGUUGUAUAACAUAAAAAUGUAAUGUAUGUUUGACGUCAUUUGUGAAUGUCAUAUGAUAAUGUGUAGUGAUUGGUAUAUAUCAUUAUCAAGGUUCUCUUUACUACUGGUACCCCCUUUACAGGUAAAACACUUUCCCCUUCAAUUGUAGAAAGCUCCUAGAUGGGAGAAACUUCCUACAUAAUAUUGUUAAUUUGUGAACUCUACCCCCUACCCCCAGAAAUUGGAGAUCAUUAUUAUCUCAUUUUUUCUCCAUUUAGGGUUCACUUUGUUGGUUUUUUAUAUCUAGAAUUAUUCAAAAAUAGUAUUGUGUUAUAUCAUCUUUGUCCUCUCUUUUGCAGAUUAAUAUUUAAAAGUACUAUUUGAAACAUAUAUUACCCAGCUUGUAAUUUAAAAAAUAAAGUGCACCGCCACGGCACAUGAUAUGCCCGUCACAUAUUGUUAACAGUAUAGAUUGUACCCAUUAAAACAUUUUUUUUUUAAAUCACCUUAAUUAAAUGUCACAGUGACCUUAAAGUAGGAUGCGACACACCUUCUACCUAAGAUGCAUUAGUUGACCAAUUUUGGUGAUUCUAGGUCUAAUAGUUUUCAAGUUAUGAGCCGGACAAGUUUUUGCCAUAUAUGGCCAUAUCUUCUUAAUGAAAAGUCAUAGUGACCUGGUUUUAAUGUGCAACACACCUUCUACCCAAGAUGUAUCUACAGACAAAGUUUGAUUAUUCUAGGCCUUGUAGUAUUUAAGUUACGGGUCGGACACGAAAAAGCUAACAGACCGACGGACAGACGGAUAUCUUCUUAAUGAAAAGUCACAGUGACCUGGUUUUAAUGUGCGACACACCUUCUACCCAAGAUGUAUCUACAGACAAAGUUUGAUGAUUCUAGGCUUUGUAGUAUUUAAGUUACGGGUCGGACACGAAAAAGCUAACAGACGGACGGACAUGAACACCAUACCAUAAUACGUCCCGUCUUAAGACGGGCGUAUAAAAAUGGCUGUCCAAUAACCUAAAUGUAUAGGUACAUUAAUUUAACAUUUUAUGUAGAUGUUAUUGAAGAAAAGGGCAUUAUUUAAACCCUUAAUAUCUCAUUUGAUUUUUAGAUGCCAAGCUCAAUAAUAUGUUUUAAUGAUGUUUAGUAGUCCAUUUUAACAGUAGUGUGAAAAUGAAUUAUUUCCUAGCCUGCUCUUGGAAGAUUUAACCCUUCUAAUAUGUACUUUUUCUUCAUUUCUGAAAAAUUGGCAUAUUGCCAAUUUUUAAGAGUUGUCUACCCUUUGAUGUGUUGUAUGUUUAAUUAUGACUUAUGCCAUUUUAGAAGGCUAUUGUCAUUUUGGAAGGCUAUUGUCAGUUAUAACUAUGAAAUUCAUUUCAUGAUGUAUAAUUUUAAUUUGAGUUUAAUAGCAUAAAUGUACACAACAUUUUUUGAAUACUUUAAAAAAAAAAAGAAGGCAUUAUCUAACCCCUAGUAUCAUACAUGCCAACUUUCCCGAUUUGUGCGGGAUUUUCCCGAUUUGAAGCAGUUGAAAAAGCAAAUCUCGAUAUCCCGAUCGGGAUUGCAAAAAUACCCCAAAAUCCCGAUUUUCUAAAAAUAUCUCCCAUUUUACGACAACAAACCCCCAUUUCCAACCGGAAUUUGAAAUCCCGCAUCAUUUCUGAACUGGCCAAUCACAAAUCGGGACAAUAGUCAGCCAUUGCUGUUUACCUGUGUCGCAUGGUAUCGGAGUGAUGUAAUUUACUUGGUCUGCCCGUGUCGGGGUGCUUAUUGGACAGUGCGAAGCAUGUUUUGAUAGUAAUUAAUCGGGAAGACGGAUUUCAAAUUGACAUAUCCUUUAUACAAACGUGAAUGGCAAUGAUAAUAGUGUCACCACCAAACAAUCGGACAUUCCCGAUUUUUGCCUCUCGCUGACAGCAUCCAAAAUAUGCAAUAUUAAAGAUGUCAUGGGUGCAAAGGUUUUGUUCGCAAACUUCAUAGCAGGGCAGAUCACUCCUUUUCUGGUUGCAAUGCAGAUUGUUCCACCAGACUCUGCAAGCCCAUGUUUACAGACAAGCAAGAUCGCCUUUGUAGUCGUACCUAAAUGCAUGUGCUUUAAUUUAAAUUUUGAUAUAUAGACCAGCCAAUGUGUAUAUGGUGUAAAAGGAUGCAACUUUAAGUAUUAUUUGAUAAUAUGUAUGUGAUUUGUUGGAGAGGAUUUUUUGCUGAAUAGAUGAUUUUAAUAAAAUACUUAUCUAUAUCUUUCAAAGUUUUUUUUUUUUUUUUUAUAUAGUUUUGUUAAAGUUAAUGGUCAAACACACUUGAUGUAUGAUAGAUGUAUAAUGAUUAGAUUGAUAUUUUAUUUGAAAAGACAAAUAUUUAUUUUCAUGGUAAAAUGUCGUGAAUUUUGAGCGUUGAAAAAAGGUCGUCGCGCGCAAAAUCCCCCAUGGGGAUUUUCAAAAGUUGGCAUGUAUGUAGUAUCUCACUUGAUUUCUGACGAUGAUAGGAGAAGGGGGCUGGUUUUAAUCAGACUGACUUGAUUUUUAAAAGCCAAGCUCAAUAAUAUGCUUUAAUGAUGUUUAGUAGUCUAUUUUGAGAUAAGUGUAAAAAAAAAUAUUUCCUAACCUGCUCUUGAAAGAUUUGGCCCUUCAAAUAUGUACUUUUUCUUCAUUUCUGAGAAAUUGGCAAUAUGGCAAUUUUUAAGAGUUGUCUGCCCUUUGAUAUGUUGCAUGUUUGAUUAUGACGUAUAUCAAUUUUGGAAGGCUAUUGUCUGCUGUUGUUAUGCAAUUCAUUUCAUGAUGUUUAAAUUUAAUUUUGGCUGAAAAAUAGAUAUACACAUGACUUUUUCUAGAUUUUUUAAAAAACAGGCAUUAUCUAAUCCCUAAUAUCUCAUAUGAUUUUUAAAUGCCAAGCUCAAUAAUAUGAUUUAAUGAUGUUUAGUAGUCUAUUUUGACAGUAGUAUGAGAAUGAAUUAUUUCCUAGCCUUCCAAUUUGUACGUUUUCUUCAUUUCUGAAAAAUUGACAAUAUGCCAAUUUUUAGGAGUUGUCUGCCCUUUGAUGUGUUUCAUGUUUGAUUAUGACUUAUGCCAUUUUUGGAAGAGGAGUGUCUGCUGUAACUUUGAAAUACUUUUGGAAAAAAUAAAUUUAAUUUUUUAGUGAAAUAAAUUACAUUUGAUUUUUACCCUUUUUCUGGAUUUUUAUAUAUUAUAAUAUUGAUGAAAAUAUGCAAAAUACAGAUGGCGCUGCGUAUGGCGGCCAUGUUGAAAAUAGCAAUUUUUGGAGAGUAUUUUUCAAUUACUAUGUUGGAUGUCUACCUACACACCAAAUUUCAUCAAGAUGUGGUAACCUACGAUUUGGACAGUAUUGCAUGAUUUUUUGCUAGACAGACUCUUACGAAAGUAUAUCUUCCUAUUUAGGGUAAUCCCAUGGUACUUGAUAUCACAUUAUUUCUUACAACUCCCAUUCGCAAUGAAACUUCAAUAACAGAUAGACAUUCAUAAGGCUUCUGCCAGAAAACCUAAAACUGAUCACUUACAUGUAAACGUUUUCCAUCUCAUUUUUUUUCGGGUUGGUGUUCUAAACUCUGCAUUGUAUUCUGAUAUACUAUUCCGUAUUUAAUUUCACAGCACUAAAAUAGAAGAAAAAAAAUUUUAAAAAGCAUACAAAAACAGGAGAUUUAAAAGAAGUUACAAAAAAAUAUCAAAUUGUGAAAAUAUCAUCACAGAAAUUUACUUACGAUAGCAGAAUAUAGUAAACAGUAAUCUGAACAUACCCUGUGUAGCAAUCCAAUAGCCAUUUUUGUCACCAGUUAAAUUCAGCAACAUACAUGGUCUCAUGGAGAUUUAAAAAAAGAACUUCAAAAUAUAUAUUUUUUGUAGACAUAAAAUCUAUAUAUGCAAUAUGUACAAACCAUGACAAUUGAUAAAGAUCAGUGAUUUUUGUAUUUGAAAACUGUUAUACUACUUUUUAAACAUAUGUAUUCCACGUUUUAUGUGAAAGUUGGUUUUACAAGACAUAGAAUGAAAAGAGUUGCCCAACAGGGGGAGAAGCUACUGUAAGGAUGGGCCAGAUUUUACACCACCUUACACUGUAGGUUUUCAACAAUACAUAUGGAAUAGAAAAUCUCUCACGUUUGAUUUCUUGACAAAGAAUUUUUAAAAAGUUUUCCCUUUCUUCUCUUUUUUAAAUUUAUAUAUUUUGUGUUGUUUUUGCUUGUCAUGCAAUUUUGAAAAAUUUCCGUUUUGGAGUACAUCACAUCAAAAGAAACACAAUCAUAUGUAUAUUUUUUCAAUUAUUUUCAAUGUCAGGAAGCUCAAUUUUACGUCCAUAUUUAGUAAAUAAAUAUGUUGCUGCUGUAAAUAUUUUAUCUUUAUUCCUGACUUCAAACACGAUAUCCUUCAACAAUUUACAAUCAAAGCGUGACAUUGCAAUUAUAAUAGCAAUAUCCGCACAGUCGUCUAUUUGGGGUACCAUAAUUUCUAAAGCAUUCCUUGAGUGGUGAUCUACAGUCACGUGACGUGAUAUCGAUGGGAGAUCGUAGGAGAUAUUAAAAGCUGAUUCCAUCCUUCUACCAUUAGAUGAUCGGUUGUUAUUUUCAUUCAUAUAAUACAAAUUGAAGUGAUCAUGAGGUUCCACAUAGCGGCUCCUUCGAAGUUUUACGUUGUUUUCGUCUAUAAAUGAUACAACUCUAAGGUUUUCAUUAGAGCUGGACGAAAAGGAAAGAGGGCGUAUAAUAUAAUUGACAUCCUCGAAGUUUAUAACAGGUCUGUUUUCAAUAAUACAAAUAUCUUUAUGAAAUACGUUCCUGAAAUAAUGCUGAGCAACGUAAAUGAUGUUAUGCUUGCACAUGACAGAUAUUCUAAAACGUAAAUCAAUAAAUUUAGCCAUUUCGAUUACAAUAGGUACUGAUACAGCAUGGUUGUUCGUACUCACAGGAAUUUCAAUAACAGUUAGUCGACCCUUAAGCCUCAAUCUUAAUAUCUGGCGUGCACUUUCUUCACUGUAACACCUAAAUCUGAUGUCACUAAAAUGUUCACUAGGCGAAGAGAGACUUUCUAACCAUCUAAAAAAUUUUGAUGCAAAUAAUAUAUAAUACCCAUUAGUCGGUAAAUUUCUAUUUUCUAAUUUUUGUAAAAAGUUCAAAUUUUUAUCAAAAUCAAUGAAAAAUACUUCAUUCACAUCAUCUGGAAUAUACCUUGACCAGUGACGUGAACUAUUUUCAUCGAACAGUGUAGGUGGUAUAAAAGAAAGCUCAUCCUUACCGUUAAAACGGUUAAAUCUGUAUAUUCCAGAAUUUUCCAUGACUUCUCC